rnacentral:rRNA from 1 species
CGGUAAUACAGAGGUGGCGAGCGUUGUUCGGAAUUACUGGGCUUAAAGGGCGAGUAGGCGUCCCGGUAAGUCAGAUGUGGAAUCUUUUCGCUUAACGAAAAAAUUGCAUCUGAAACUAUCGGGAUUGAGUCAGUGAGGGGAGGGCGGAAUUCCUGGUGUAGCGGUGAAAUGCGUAGAUAUCAGGAGGAAGGCCUGUGGCGAAGGCGGCCCUCUGGCACUGUACUGACGCUGAGGCGCGAAAGCGUGGGGAGCAAACAGGAUUAGAUACCCUGGUAGUCCACGCCCUAAACGGUGGGCAUUAGGUGUAGGGCUCGUAAGGGUUCUGUGCCGAAGGGAAACCAUUAAAUGCCCCGCCUGGGGAGUACGGCCGCAAGGUUGAA